rnacentral:lncRNA from 10 species
AGAAUCUUUUAGCUGAAAAAGUAGAGCAGCUGAUGGAAUGGAGUUCCAGACGCUCAAUCUUCCGAAUGAAUGGUGAUAAAUUCCGAAAAUUUAUAAAGGCACCACCUCGAAACUAUUCCAUGAUUGUUAUGUUCACUGCUCUUCAGCCUCAGCGGCAGUGUUCUGUGUGCAGGCAAGCUAAUGAAGAAUAUCAAAUACUGGCGAACUCCUGGCGCUAUUCAUCUGCUUUUUGUAACAAGCUCUUCUUCAGUAUGGUGGACUAUGAUGAGGGGACAGACGUUUUUCAGCAGGUAAAGAGUUAUAUCGUAUUCAUAUAUUUAACAUAGUUGUUUGUGGUCGAUACAUUUUUGUUUGUCACAUAAAAAUACAAUUCAUUCAUCGUCUGAACCUGGGAGGCGGAGGUUGCAGUGAGCCGAGAUUGUGCCACUGCAUUCCAGGUGGAGGACAGAGCAAGACUUUUACACACACACACACACACACACACACACACACA